rnacentral:sRNA from 1 species
GCCCUAUUAUACUACGGUUCUGUUCGUUUCUCCAUUUGACAGAUCCAUCCAAUUGAUCCAUUCAACAUGUCCAUCUAGAUGAUUCAUUCGACUCUUGUUCGUUUUAUUUUUAGUCGGUUCAUUUGACUGGACCAUCCGAAUGAGAUGUUGUUCGUUUACUUAUCUCUAUCUCCAUCCAAAUGAUUUGCAAUAAUACAAAUACCUAAAAUACCCAUGCUUUCAUCUAAUUCUUAAUCUAAAAUAUAUUUAAAAGUAAAUAAAUUUCAAAUAAU